GGCCAGGUGGCGGAGUGGUUAACGCGGUAGACUCGAAUCCAUUGGAGGAUUAAUAAGCUUCAAAGCGAUCUACUUCCUUCGGGAGCGUCUGUUCGAAUCAGGCCCUGGUCG